rnacentral:rRNA from 1 species
CAGCCGCCGCGGGAAUACGAAGGGGGCUAGCGUUGCUCGGAAUUACUGGGCGUAAAGGGCGCGUAGGCGGACAUUUAAGUCAGAGGUGAAAGCCCAGGGCUCAACCUUGGAACUGCCUUUAAUACUGGGUGUCUAGAGUGCGGGAGAGGUGUGUGGAACUCCGAGUGUAGAGGUGAAAUUCGUAGAUAUUCGGAAGAACACCAGUGGCGAAGGCGACACACUGGCCCGUAACUGACGCUGAGGCGCGAAAGCGUGGGGAGCAAACAGGAUUAGAUACCCCAGUAGUCCCUGUCUCUUAUAC